UGUACUACGUAGCUCAGGCUGACU
rnacentral:piRNA from 1 species